rnacentral:rRNA from 1 species
AAGUUAUUAAGGGCGCACGGUGGAUGCCUUGGCACUAGAAGCCGAAGAAGGACGUUACUAACGACGAUAUGCUUUGGGUAGCUGUAAGUAAGCGUUGAUCCAGAGAUUUCCGAAUGGGGGAACCCAACAUGAGUUAUGUCAUGUUAUCGACAUGUGAAUUCAUAGCAUGUCAGAAGGCAGACCCGGAGAACUGAAACAUCUUAGUACCCGGAGGAAGAGAAAGAAAAAUCGAUUCCCUGAGUAGCGGCGAGCGAAACGGGAAGAGCCCAAACCAACAAGCUUGCUUGUUGGGGUUGUAGGACACUCUAUACGGAGUUACAAAAGAACAUGUUAGACGAAUCAUCUGGAAAGAUGAAUCAAAGAAGGUAAUAAUCCUGUAGUCGAAAACAUAUUCUCUCUUGAGUGGAUCCUGAGUACGACGGAGCACGUGAAAUUCCGUCGGAAUCUAGGAGGACCAUCUCCUAAGGCUAAAUACUCUCUAGUGACCGAUAGUGAACCAGUACCGUGAGGGAAAGGUGAAAAGUACCCCGGAAGGGGAGUGAAAGAGAACUUGAAACCGUGUGCUUACAAGUAGUCAGAGCCCGUUUAUGGGUGAUGGCGUGCCUUUUGUAGAAUGAACCGGCGAGUUACGAUCUGAUGCAAGGUUAAGCAGCGAAUGUGGAGCCGUAGCGAAAGCGAGUCUGAAUAGGGCGUUGAGUAUUUGGUCGUAGACCCGAAACCAGGUGAUCUACCCUUGGUCAGGUUGAAGUUCAGGUAACACUGAAUGGAGGACCGAACCGACUUACGUUGAAAAGUGAGCGGAUGAACUGAGGGUAGCGGAGAAAUUCCAAUCGAACUUGGAGAUAGCUGGUUCUCUCCGAAAUAGCUUUAGGGCUAGCCUCAAGUGAUGAUUAUUGGAGGUAGAGCACUGUUUGGACGAGGGGCCCCUCUCGGGUUACCGAAUUCAGACAAACUCCGAAUGCCAAUCAAUUUAACUUGGGAGUCAGAACAUGGGUGAUAAGGUCCGUGUUCGAAAGGGAAACAGCCCAGACCACCAGCUAAGGUCCCAAAAUAUAUGUUAAGUGGAAAAGGAUGUGGCGUUGCCCAGACAACUAGGAUGUUGGCUUAGAAGCAGCCAUCAUUUAAAGAGUGCGUAAUAGCUCACUAGUCGAGUGACACUGCGCCGAAAAUGUACCGGGGCUAAACAUAUUACCGAAGCUGUGGAUUGUCCUUCGGACAAUGGUAGGAGAGCGUUCUAAGGGCGUUGAAGCAUGAUCGCAAGGACAUGUGGAGCGCUUAGAAGUGAGAAUGCCGGUGUGAGUAGCGAAAGACGGGUGAGAAUCCCGUCCACCGAUUGACUAAGGUUUCCAGAGGAAGGCUCGUCCGCUCUGGGUUAGUCGGGUCCUAAGCUGAGGCCGACAGGCGUAGGCGAUGGAUAACAGGUUGAUAUUCCUGUACCACCUAGUAUCGUUUUAAUCGAUGGGGGGACGCAGUAGGAUAGGCGAAGCGUGCUGUUGGAGUGCACGUCCAAGCAGUAAGGCUGAGUGUUAGGCAAAUCCGGCACUCGUUAGGCUGAGCUGUGAUGGGGAGAGGAAAUUGUUUCCUCGAGUCGUUGAUUUCACACUGCCGAGAAAAGCCUCUAGAUAGAUAACAGGUGCCCGUACCGCAAACCGACACAGGUAGUCAAGAUGAGAAUUCUAAGGUGAGCGAGCGAACUCUCGUUAAGGAACUCGGCAAAAUGACCCCGUAACUUCGGGAGAAGGGGUGCUCUUUAGGGUUCACGCCCAGAAGAGCCGCAGUGAAUAGGCCCAAGCGACUGUUUAUCAAAAACACAGGUCUCUGCUAAACCGUAAGGUGAUGUAUAGGGGCUGACGCCUGCCCGGUGCUGGAAGGUUAAGAGGAGUGGUUAGCUUCUGCGAAGCCACGAAUCGAAGCCCCAGUAAACGGCGGCCGUAACUAUAACGGUCCUAAGGUAGCGAAAUUCCUUGUCGGGUAAGUUCCGACCCGCACGAAAGGCGUAACGAUUUGGGCACUGUCUCAACGAGAGACUCGGUGAAAUCAUAGUACCUGUGAAGAUGCAGGUUACCCGCGACAGGACGGAAAGACCCCGUGGAGCUUUACUGUAGCCUGAUAUUGAAAUUCGGCACAGCUUGUACAGGAUAGGUAGGAGCCAUUGAAACGUGAGCGCUAGCUUACGUGGAGGCGUUGGUGGGAUACUACCCUAGCUGUGUUGGCUUUCUAACCCGCACCACUUAUCGUGGUGGGAGACAGUGUCAGGCGGGCAGUUUGACUGGGGCGGUCGCCUCCUAAAAGGUAACGGAGGCGCUCAAAGGUU